rnacentral:rRNA from 1 species
UACGUAGGGACCGAGCGUUGUCCGGAAUCAUUGGGCGUAAAGAGCGUGUAGGCGGCCUUUUAAGUCCUGCGUGAAAUCCUGCGGCUCAACCGCAGACGGUCGUGGGAAACUGGAAGGCUAGAGUGCGGGAGAGGAGAGUGGAAUUCCCGGUGUAGCGGUGAAAUGCGCAGAUAUCGGGAGGAACACCAGUGGCGAAGGCGACCUUCUGGGCCUUGCCUGACGCUGAGGCGCGAAAGCGUGGGGAGCGAACCGG